CUCUUCCACUAUCUGUGCUGCCCUCUGCAGGAGGUGGAAGGCCAUACAGAAUGGAGCCGUGAGUAUGGCCAGCCUCCAGCUCUCAGCCAGGAGGUCCCCAACCCCAAGGAAGGAAGAAACUGGAAAUUAGGAACUGCUUCCUCAUUUAACAAGGUGCUUCUUUUCAUGUGAUGAGGCCCUGUGAAGAAGGGACAGGAUAUACAGACGGGGGCAGCUGGAGACAGUUAUGAUGAGUGCCGGCUUUGUGUCUGAGCAUUCUGCUCCCAUGGACAUCCCCAACAACAGCAGGGACCAACCUAUGUCACUGUCAAAGGGCAGCUGAGAAGGGCCUGAGCCCCAGGGACCCCUCACCUGAUGGGAAUGAGAGUGUGGGGAGCUUGCUUCUUGGCUGAAUGGUCUGCUGGGGUCUGGCAUAGAAAGCAGAUGGCUUAAUUCGGUCUGGUUCCUUUGGAGAGGGCUGGGUUACCUGGGCCCUGUGGCCUUGGGCCUAGAGAAGGGACACUGGGCUUGGACCCUGAUUGCUGGCCAUUCUUACCUUUCCUACUCCCCAGUUCAGGCUUCAGAGAGCCCCUGACGCCUGCAGGAACAUGGCAGAGGAGACACCGUCUGUCUUCACAAAGUACGUCCUCCCUCCUUGCUGCCUCUUCCCACCAGCCUGACUUAUCCAGGGACAGAGCAGUAGAUGCCUGGCACUCCUCGAUGCCCAGUGAAACCAGACUGUGCUUCCC
rnacentral:lncRNA from 1 species